CAGCCUCCCCGCCGCUGCUUAGCGACAACAACACCGCCGCCGUCGCCGCCGCCGGUUCCCUCGACACGCCGGGCACGCCGCCGCCUCCGAUGCCUCCGAAGAGACACCCGCAAGAAUCGGAGUUCACCCCCCCGCUGCCAACGAAAAUCGAGAGCAAGCCGCCGCCGCCGCCGCCCAAGGCGCGGAAGUCGGUGUUUCAUUCCUACGAAAACUCGCCCCAAUAAGGCUAGCAGCGAGUACCGGCGAGUACUAGCGAGUACUAGCGAGUACCAGUGCACACUUUAAUGAGUCGGUUGUUGUAAAAAAAAAAAAAAAAAAACUGCAGUUUUAGUUUCUGCGAAAAAAAACUCGACGUCGGAAAAGGAGGCGGAGUCUAAGAAGAGGAAGAAUUCCGUCGUCAAAUCCGAUAUUUUUUUUUUUUUUUUUUUUGUCGUGACACUGGUCACUGGUGCUGCCGGAAAAAAACCCCGAUCGUCUUCGGUCCGAAAACAUCACGCGGGGAAGUACGAUAAACGGGCGAUGUUUUUUUUUUUUUUUAACGAUCAAACUUCAAGGGUUCGCAAACACUGGAUACUUUACGAUACUGAAUGUGGUACAGAUUUAUAUUUUUGUCUUUUUUUUUUGUUUUCGCGAAAAACUGUAAGCCAAUGCUACGACUGCAGAUACCGAGUUACCAGGAACCGAUGCUAAGAGUUAGACGUUCGAUUCGCAGUUUUCCCCGACGUAAAAAAAAUUUAAAAAAUUAUGGACGUUAGCCUGAGGUUCUCUCUGGGAAACCAGUGAUUCGGAACUUCCGAUUUUGUGUACGCUUUAAACAUCAGUUGCUAACAUCAGGUUUAGCUAACAGCUAGGUUAGCUUAGCGUCGCAGUCAGACUUUGAAAAAAAAAAAAGCGGGAAAUAUCUGGUAUUUAUUGGUAACCAGGGUUAAUCGACAAUUACGAUUUUUUGAUUGAUACCGAUCGAUCGCGAUCGGGAUCGGUCGAUCGCUAACUCUGAGCAUCGAUCAACGUCUUUGUUCCAAAAAUUGGGAAAAAAAAGACGCGUUCCUGGUCGGAGUUUAUUUUCCAGGAAUCGGAACUGUUUCCUGUUUCUUGGUUUGCGAUGUGUAAAUAAUGCUCAGUUAAAAUCGGAUUUUUUUUUAAUCAAAUUUUUUUUUUUUUUUUUUUAAAAAUGAUCCGAUUUAUUCGUAUUUAAAAGAAAAAAAAAAAGAUGUUUUUAUAAUUUUUUUUUUUUUUUAUAUUUCAAAUAUAUAUUUUUUUUUUCGUAAAAAGUUUCUUAUCAAAGAAAAACAAAAAACGCCUCAAGAGUUUAUAUUUGUCGGAACUUUUUAUGGAUUUAUUUUUCAAACCAAACGUUGACUGAAAAUAAAAAAGGAAAAUGGAAAAAAAAAA